AUUGAACGCUGGCGGCAGGCCUAACACAUGCAAGUCGAACGAGUGGCGGACGGGUGAGUAAUGUCUGGGAAUCUGCCUGCUGUCGGGGGAUCUCUACUGCAAACGGUAGCUAAUACCGCAUACUAUCAGAUGUGCCCAGAUGGGAUUGGCUAGUAGGUGGGGUAACGGCUCACCUAGGCGACGACCCAUAGCUGGUCUGAGAGGAUGACAAGCAACACUGGAACGGAGACACGGUCCAGACGCCUACGGGAGGCAGCAGUGGGGAAUAUUGCACAAUGGGCGCAAGCCUGAUGCAGCCAUGCCGCGUGUGUGAAGAAGGCCUUCGGGUUGUAAAGCACUUUCAGCGGGGAGGCGUUACCCGCAGAAGAAGCACCGGCUAACUCCGUGCCAGCAGCCGCGGUAAUAC
rnacentral:rRNA from 1 species